AAGUCAGGUAGCCUCAUCUAUCCGCAGAUACUAGUCUAGUCUAUCGCUAAAACCCAUUGUUGGUUUUGCGUUUAACACAGCCAAAAAGGAAAAAAAUGAUAAUCCAAACGGCAUUCUCUGCUCCAUCCCUUUGGUCCUCCUGCUCUGCCUACAGGUUCAAUCUCAACCCUCUUCUCUUCUCCAAAACCCGUCGUCGCGCUCCUUGGCAUUUGACUCUUCUCAGUUCCCGCCUCUUUGCUGUUGCUGCAUCUGCAAAUGGCACGUUUACUUCCCCAGAGAUAGCAAAGUCAUUCGAUUUUGCAUCAGAGGAGCGCAUUUACAAUUGGUGGGAUUCUCAAGGAUAUUUUAAACCAAACUUUGACCGUGGCGGUGAUCCAUUUGUGAUUUCAAUGCCUCCUCCUAAUGUUACCGGUUCACUGCAUAUGGGGCAUGCAAUGUUUGUAACUCUUGAGGAUAUAAUGGUAAGAUAUAAUCGAAUGAAGGGAAGACCUACACUCUGGAUUCCAGGGACUGAUCAUGCUGGUAUUGCAACUCAGCUGGUUGUGGAAAGAAUGCUUGCAUCUGAAGGAAUAAAAAGGGUCGAAUUGAGUCGAGAUGACUUCACAAAAAGAGUUUGGGAGUGGAAAGAGAAGUAUGGUGGGACAAUCACAAAUCAAAUUAAAAGACUUGGUGCUUCUUGUGAUUGGAGUAGAGAGCACUUUACCCUUGAUGAGCAGCUAAGUCGAGCUGUAAUUGAGGCAUUUGUCAGGCUUCAUGAUAAAGGUCUAAUUUAUCAAGGAUCAUACAUGGUGAACUGGUCUCCUAGUCUACAAACUGCUGUUUCUGACUUGGAAGUGGAAUAUCAUGAAGAAACAGGUACUCUCUAUUACAUGAAGUAUCGUGUGGCUGGAGGUUCAAGUAGUGAUUACCUGACAAUAGCAACAACACGGCCAGAGACUUUAUUCGGUGAUGUGGCUGUUGCAGUGCAUCCUAAGGAUGGUCGAUAUUCAAAGUACAUUGGUAAAAUGGCUAUUGUACCAAUGACAUAUGGUCGACAUGUUCCUAUAAUUGCUGACAAGCUUGUUGAUAAAGAUUUUGGGACUGGUGUGUUGAAGAUUAGCCCUGGACACGAUCACAAUGAUUAUAAUCUUGCUAAAAAGCUUGGUUUGCCAAUACUUAAUGUGAUGAACAAGGAUGGAACACUUAACAAUGUUGCCGGACUGUACUGUGGGCUUGAUCGGUUCGAGGCUCGGAAUCAGCUUUGGUUAGAUCUGGAAGACACAGGUCUAGCUGUGAAAAAGGAGCCACAUACUUUACGAGUGCCCAGAUCCCAACGUGGUGGAGAAGUAAUUGAGCCACUUGUAAGCAAGCAAUGGUUUGUAACCAUGGAGCCGUUAGCAGAUAAAGCCCUUCAAGCUGUAGAAAAAGGAGAUAUAAAAAUCAUUCCUGAAAGAUUUGAGAAGAUUUAUAACCACUGGCUAUCAAAUAUUAAAGAUUGGUGCAUAAGUAGGCAAUUGUGGUGGGGACACCGCAUUCCAGUUUGGUACAUUGAGGGAAAAGACAAUGAAGAAGAAUAUAUAGUUGCUAGAAGUGUUGAUGAAGCUCUUAAGAAAGCACAUGAGAAAUAUGGGAAAGCUGUAAAGAUUUAUCAAGAUCCAGAUGUACUAGACACUUGGUUUUCAAGUGCGUUAUGGCCCUUUAGUACUCUUGGUUGGCCAGAUGUGUCAUCAGAAGAUUUUAAGCAGUUUUAUCCUACAACAAUGCUUGAAACUGGACAUGACAUAUUGUUCUUUUGGGUUGCGAGGAUGGUCAUGAUGGGAAUUGAGUUCACUGGAAGAGUUCCAUUUUCAUAUGUUUACCUACAUGGUCUUAUUCGAGAUUCACAAGGGAGAAAAAUGUCCAAAACAUUGGGGAAUGUAAUAGAUCCAUUGGAUACAAUAAAGGAAUUUGGCACAGAUGCUUUACGAUUCACACUUGCUUUGGGAACUGCUGGUCAGGACCUCAAUUUAUCCACUGAGAGGUUAACCUCCAACAAGGCAUUUACAAACAAAUUAUGGAAUGCUGGAAAAUUCAUAUUACAGAAUUUGCCUAGUCAAGAUGAGGCAUCUGUUUGGGAAAAUAUACAUUCUUUCCAGUUUGACACAGAGGAGUCUCUUCUCGUGCUACCUUUGUCAGAAAGUUGGGUGAUAUCAAAACUUCACUUGCUUGUUGAUGCGGUCACUGUAAGCUAUGACAAGUUUUUCUUCGGAGAUGUUGGGAGAGAGACAUAUGAUUUCUUUUGGAGCGAUUUUGCUGAUUGGUAUAUUGAGGCCAGUAAAGCUCGUCUUUACAACUCUAGUGGUGAUUCUGAAGCUUGUGUAGCACAGGCAGUUCUAUUGUACGUUUUUCAGAACAUACUUAAAAUAUUACAUCCUUUCAUGCCAUUCGUGACUGAGGAGCUCUGGCAGGCACUCCCCAACAGAAAAGAAGCACUCAUGGUGUCUUCUUGGCCACAGGCUUCACUUCCUAGGGACAGCAACUCAAUUAAAAAGUUUGAAAAUUUACAAGCACUGACUAGAUCUAUUCGGAAUGCUCGAGCAGAAUAUUCUGUUGAGCCAGCGAAGCGUAUAUCAGGAUCCAUAGUUGCAAAUGAAGAAGUCAUCCAAUAUAUAUCUCAAGAAAAGGUGGUGCUAGCUCUUCUAUCCCGAUUAGAUUUACAAAACGUGCAUUUUACAAAUUCUCCUCCAGGGGAGCCAUUUGUUGGUGAAUUCAAUAUCUUCAGGGAAUGCGGAACAAUCUGUCCACCUAGUAGCUGGUGAAGGGCUAGAGGCUUAUCUCCCACUGGCUGAUAUGGUUGAUGUAACUGCUGAAGUUGACCGCCUUACUAAGCGUCUUUCCAAGAUGCAAACAGAGUAUGAGGGAUUUUCUACUCGCCUCAGUUCUCAGAAUUUUGUGGAGAAAGCUCCUAAAGAUGUUGUCAAUGGUGUACGGGAAAAAGCUGCUGAAGUAGAAGAGAAGAUUAAUCUUACCAAAAACCGUCUAGCUUUCCUCAAAUCAACUGUUCUUGUUUCAGAAUAGACUACCUGUAGUUACCAUUUUUCUGAUACUAACAUCACUUUGGCUCUUUAUUUUGCUGGGUAGAUCUCAUUCCUAGACCAGUUGCCUAUCUUUCAAGGAUUGAACUAAGUGGCAUUUGCUUCUUUGGCAUUAUAGAGGACUUGCAACUAACUCAUCAUGUCUGGCAGCUACUGUUUACUACCACCUAAGGGAUGAAUUGUGAGGUGACUGCCCUCGGUGGAGAAGCUUUUCCUUAAGAGUGAAGAGCAAUAAGUAGGCUGCUGGCCCUGACUGGUAAGCAACACUUUAUUAUUUGUUCUGGUACCAAAUAAUCCACUCGUUACGCUGGAUGGAUGCUCAUGUAGUUUUCCACUUCAACAACUCAUAAUAAUAUAAUUUUUUGCUAGUU